GACGGAGAUCCCGAGCGUUGUUCGGAAUUAUUGGGCUUAAAGCGCGUGUAGGCGGAGCCGUAAGUACCUUGUGAAAUCCCCGGACUCAAUCCGGGAACUGCUAGGUAUACUGCGAUUCUCGAGGCAGGUAGAGGUCACUGGAACCUUAGGUGGAGCGGCGAAAUGCGUAGAUAUCUAAGGGAACGCCUGUGGCGAAAGCGGGUGACUGGGCCUGUCCUGACGCUGAGACGCGAAAGCGUAGGGAGCAAACGGG
rnacentral:rRNA from 1 species